rnacentral:lncRNA from 1 species
CUCUCAGCUGGGAGACCGUGGGCGGAGGUGAUACAACCUGACUGAUGAUGGCUGACAAAAGAAGAAGAAAGUAGCUGAGAACCAGCAGCUGAAGAAAGCAAGAAAAUAUGAGUGAAGUCACAAAUGUCACCAAGGAAAGGAAGAACAGAAAAAUAACUUGAAUAUUCAAGAUGGGCAGCCUAGUUCAACGACACAUCAAGCCUUGUGAAAAGGUGACUCCGAGGUAAGAGUUGCCUGCUCUUCCAGAGAAGCUGAGUGCCUGAGUUCAGUCCCCAGCCUGGUGACUCAUCGAACAAGUGACUGUAAUUAAUUCCAGGAGACCCACACCCUCUUCUGCCUGACAAGGUCACAAGACUUUUAGACACAAGUAGUGUACAAAUGCACACAUUUACACAUUAAUAAAAACAAUCUUUAAAGACAACAACAAAAACUUCACAUAAGACCAAAGAGAAUGCAUCUGAGUUUACAGAAACAUAUUAAGAGCUAAUUUCAAAGCAUUUGUAAACAUUUUAAUUCAAUUUCAAGACAUUUCUUAAAAUCAAAAAAUACUUUGCAACAAUAUUAAUUUAUCCAUGGAUUUUUGCAAAGCAGGAAAGUAUGUUUUCUAACCUCCUUUUAAAAACCCGUUCUUGAACUGGGCAUACUGGUACAAGCUUGAAAACCCAGUACUCAGAAGACAGAGUUAAGCAAAUUUUUGUGGGUUCAAGGCUAGCCUUGUCUACAUAGUGAGUUCCCAGAUAGCCAGGGCUAUGUAGAGACCCUGUAUAAAUAAAUAAAUAAAUAAAUAAAUAAAUAAAUAAAUAAAUAAAUAAAAUUCUCGUGUGGGCUAGAGAAAUGGCUCAACAGUUGCUGUACUUGCAGGGGUUCACAGCAUCCUGGUGGCAGCUCACAGAUGCCCGUAACUCCAGUUCUAGGGGACCCAUCGCCCUCUUCUGGCCUGCUUGAGCAGUGCAUACACAUAGCACACAGACAUACAGGCAAGCAAAAGCAUCCAUACACAUAACAUAAAUAAAGUAAAUCCUUUUUAAAAGUC